UAACCAUGGUGAGGACAUUGUUACAAUAAACCUUUAAAUAUACCCCCAUGCUUCAAAUAAUGACUCUCUAUUUGUCUGUGAAAAGCUUGUGACUUUAUUCCUUAGAUA